rnacentral:rRNA from 1 species
AGUUCGAUUCUGGCUCCAGAUUGAACGCUGGCGGGAUGCUUUACACAUGCAAGUCGAACGGCAGCACGGACUUCGGUCUGGUGGCGAGUGGCGAACGGGUGAGUAAUAAGAUUGAACGCCUUAGUAGCGGGGAUAACUUACGCGAAAGCGUAGCUAUUACCGUAUGGCUGCCCUUCGGGGAGCGGGACCUUCGGGCCUCGCACUAUUAGAGCGGUAUUAACGGAUAUCGGAUACGGUACAGGGUAACGGCUCACCAAGGCGACGAUCCGUAGCUGGUUUGAGAGGACGACCAGCCACACUGGGACUGAGACACGGCCCAGACUCCGCCGGAGGCAGCAGUGGGGAAUUUUGACAAUGGGGGAAACCCUGAUCCAGCCAUCCUGCGUGUGCGAUGAAGGCCUUCGGGUUGUAAAAGCACUUUUGGCAGGAAAGAAACGGCACGGAGUAAUACCCAGUAACCGACGGUACCCAGAAUAAGCACCGGCUAACUACGUGCCAGCAGCCGCGGUAAUACGUAGGGUGCAAGCGUUAAUCGGAAUUACUGGCGUAAGCGUGCGCGCGGUUCGGAAAGAUGUGAAAUCCCAGGAGCUAAUCUUGAACGCAUUUUCAACUACCGAGCUAGAGUGUGUCAGAGGAGGUGGAAUUCCGCGUGUAGCAGUGAAAUGCGUAGAUAUGCGGAGGAACACCCGACGGCGACAGCCUCCUGGGAUAACACUGACGCUCAUGCACGAAAGCGUGGGGAGCAAACAGGAUUAGAUGACUUCGGUAGUCCACGCCCUAAACGAUGUCAAACUUAGCCGUUGGGGCCUCGGGCCUUGUAGCGCAGCUAACGCGUGAAGUUGACCGCCUGGGGAGUACGGUCGCAAGAUUAAAACUCCAAAGGAAUUGACGGGGACCCGCACAAGCGGUGGAUGAUGUGGAUUAAUUCGAUGGCAACGCGAAAACCUUGCCUACCCUUUUGACAUGUUCAACCCCGAAGAGAUUUGGGGAGUGCUCGCAAGAGAACCGGAACACAGGUGCUGUGCAUGGCUGUCGUCAGCUCGUGUCGUGAGAUGUUGGGUUAAGUCCCGCAACGAGCGCAACCUCGUCAUUAGUUGCUACGAAAGGGCACUCUAUCGAGACUGCCGGUGACAAACCGAGGAAGCGUGAUGACGUCAAGUCCUCAUGGCCCUUAUGGGUAGGGGCUUCACACGUCAUACAAUGGUCGGGACAGAGGGUCGCCAACCCGCGAGGGGGAGCCAAUCCCAGAAACCCGAUCGUAGUCCGGAUCGCAGUCUGCAACUCGACUGGGUGCAAGCCGGACCGUUAGUAAUCGCGGAUCAGCAUGUCGCGGUGAAUACGUUCCCGGUCUUGUACACACCGCCCGUCAUGACCGGCUGUGGGGAGUGGUUUACCAGAAGUAGUUAGCUCAACUGUAAGGAGGGCGAUUACCACGGUAGGAUUCAUGACCGGGGUGAAGUCGUAACAAGGUAGUCGAGCACACUGGAUGCUCCA